CAGCUCCAUUGUUGGCUUGAACAAAAAGGCUGUAAUGAUUUUUUGGUAGCAUCCAUACACAGCCCAGUCAGCGCCUGCUCCCCCUCCACACUCGACGAGCGACUUUAUCUCCCGGCGAGCCAGAGAGCUGAUUAAACAUUUUCACCUGCGGCUCGGCCCUCGUCCGUUCAAAAAAAAGGCGAAAAGUCUGAUCUCAGCAGACAGGAGGGUAAUUGAAGUUUCACCUUAGUUUCAUCCACAGUGAAGUUCACAGAUUAAUAUAAAGGCAAAAGGGAGGUCAGUGUCCUUGGCAGCUUACAGUUUCACACUAUUUUUGGACUGAUUUUUAUGGUUUUCACUUUUGACAACAAAAAUUAUGAUGUGACGAAGACAACGAUGUGUGUCUUUGUGAAGUCCUCGGAGAAGCAGUCCUGUUAAAAUGAAAAAAAAAAGAACAACCACUUUCAGGGUGGCGAGUGGGUCCUCGACACAUUUUAAUGGGUCAACUACUUGUGAAAAUGAAAAAUGAAGAAAUGCACCUGGGUCCUUCCUGCAGGGAGCCGUCCUCACCACACAACCUACUGAGUAAGGAGGCUGUUUCUCCUUUUACCACAGCAGUUUAAGAACUGGAUUCUAUGAAUAUUGUUCCUCCUUGAAAUUUAUAUGAAAACUGUUUGAAAAUAAGUCAUUCUUAUUUUUUACAAUGCCACUAUUAUCCCAGAAGUUCAGGUUUUAUAAACACGCGACAUGUACAGGGGUGAUGCACAAAAAUAUAGGCAGGGAUGGGUAUGGAGAUAACAGCAGACACGGGUUUGUCCAUAGGGGGCGCCAAAACUGGCACAAACUUCAGGUUCCUCACAGGAGUUAUAACUAUAAGGCCUAACCAAUGCUCUCUUCACAUGCAGGGGGGUCAUUUCUGUCAGACAGACAGCACUUUGACGGGUCUGAUCUGCACCUUUGUACAUGCACAGGCUCUCUCUUCCUGUCUUCUCUUACCAACUUAAAAUAAAGUUUAUUUUCGUUGCUACAUUAACAUAAAACUAAUCUACUUAUAACAAUGAAAGCCUUUUGCAUCUUUCAUAUCUUUUUUUUGCAAGUUUUCUGUUAGAUUAAACACUCUUGAAUGUCUCUAGCCAAUCUAAUUCGGGUGUUAAAGCAAUAAACAGAGUUCUCUCAUGAGAUCUGUGUGAUAUUAAAUCACUCAGUUUAGAAAUAACCAGAGUGAAUCUUCCUGUACUGUUUGCUUCAAAUAGGAAACCAGAAUAUCUAAAAUACGAGUAAAAAUAAAUAAGUAUCUGUAUCAGUAUCGGGACUGAUAUAUGGCCCUCAUUUCCUUUCUUUGAGGAAAGGCCCCUAAGUCCGACGCCCCAGCAUUUGGACCUUGUAAAGUAGCACAUAUCAAGCUUUUUUCCUAGAUUUGAAUAACUAAAAGAGAAGGAAAUUACCCCACUGUAACACAAGAAUCAAUAAUCAUGCUUCUGUAAAGCUUGUUGGAUGUGUCUCGAAUGCUGAUUAGAUUUCAGACGUUACUGCUGGUCUUUAUGUCGAUGCUAAAAACGCUCUCACACAGGCUGAACUAAUCUUGGUCCUUUUAUUAUCUGUCAGGACUGGCUGAUCACACUGUGGCUUCUGCAGCAGGAGAGCAGCAUGACCUCCUCUAUUUGAGAGGCCACUCUAUACUAGGCCUGAACGAUAUAUCGUUUGACAUCGCAGAGCCUGCGAUAUUGGAGGUGAAUGAACUCAUUUAAUUUCAAGGGUAACCGACUGAGAUACACUCCAUGUGACUCUGCAUGUGCUGUGCAGCGAUCCACCAAUCGCCUUCGUCCUUAACUCAGUUGCCAAUCAGACUCACUUCUCAGCUGCCAAUCAGACUACCCUGCCAGCUGUCAAUCAAAAUCAGGGAGGAGAAAACCCACCCCUGCACAUGUUCUGCACAUGGAGGGAGACGUGUGUCCGCUGAGAAUUACUUUCGGAACUUUACUCAUGACUAUUAAGCCCAACAAAUAAGAACUGUAUGGGUUUUAAAUUGUACAUUUCCGUGGACCACUCCACUAUAAGCAGUGCGCGUUUUGCGAGGUGCAUGCAAUUCUCGGAGGACAUGCGUUUCUCGGUACAGCACCGCUAACAACAACAACAACGAUCGCAAAAUGAACAACGAACAAGCGAAAACCACCGAAAAUGAAGAUUUGUUGCCAAAAAGAAAAGGAAAGUCAGUUAUCUGGAAUUAUUUCGGUUAAAGAAGGAUGAUGUCGACCAAAACACGUCUUCUGUGUUCAUCUGUUUCCACAAUAACGUCCCAGCACAAUAAAAGCUAAAAAUAUCUCUGAGACAGACAGAAGCCGUUCUACUAACAUUCACAAAAAGAGGUAAGAUCAGUGCAGAUUAACUGUCCUCAAGAUUUCAGCAGUGCAGCAUAACAUUAAGUGCUAUUCAGGUCAUCUGGUGAAAAUACUGUAUUUUUAAUAUCGCAAUAUAUAUCGCAGGGUUGAAAAAAUCGCAAUAUUAUUUUUUUCCAAUAUCGUGCAGCCUUACUCUAUACCUUACUACUGUGCUGCAGAGAGCCUGAAAAAAAAUACAUUUUUCUUCAUUGAAAUCUUGGUGUGAGUAAUGGGCUCCACCAGGACACAUUAUUUUCCUCCAAAGAUAGAGCUGUCUUUGUUAUUUCAGGUUUGAUUCCUGUAUUUGUGCCUUUGACCUUGCUAGUCUAUGUAGGACAGAAAAAAAAGGUUUGAAGUCUUUACACCCUCACUCUUCUAUGACCCAGAAAAAAAACAGUGUUGCAAAAGUUGUUUCGUAAAUAUCACAUCUUCUCUGUUCUCUUCAAGUAAAUUCUUUGAAUGUGUUACUUUUUAGCCUCAAAUUAAAGAGUGUUUCAAUCGGCUCGGUUGUCAACUAGCCUGAGGCUAGUAGCCUGUUGUCACCUAGCUUCCUGGCUCAGAAGGUUUGGUUGAGCUAAGGUGUCGCUGUGAAAUCUCUAUGCGAUUGACUGCGUAUUUAAAAUGAACAGCACUCCUCCCUGUGCUGUCCACUGAUUCAUGGCAGACAAUUAUGACUUGGGUAAGUUCAAUAACUGUUGUGAUAGUAGAUUUGUACACAUUGGGAUAUUGUUGGGUGGGUUACCGGUUCAAACCGAAUAUCUGUGUUAUUAUUAUUUUUUUUUUAUGGUCUGAUUUUUAAAAAAUAUUUCCAAUACUGGUGAGUGUGUAGCAUACAAAACGUUGGGAACACAAAGUGGCAGAAUGUUGUGUUGCUGGACAGUAUUUGACAGGGGGCUGUUUUCAGUUGCACCAAACAAGCAGCAAACACGGUGAAAGUUCUGAAAGUGAGGUUAAAUAAUGGAUCAGGAGAACUUGUACUGAAAAGAGGAGCCGUGUCUGUUGUUUGGAAGUUCUUCAUUUUUAAAAAAAUCCAACGUUGAUCAAACAACAAUAUUCUGCAAAUGUUGUCAGGCUAAAGUUGUAGCUGCUGGAGGCAACAGAAGCAAUUUACUUCACCACCUCAGCCACAAGCAUGUCUUGGAAUAUAAAGAAUGCAUGAAACUACGAUCUGCGUCCUUCACGUCUGCAGGUAAAAUCGGCACUGCGGGAGAAAAGUAGAGUCAGAUGUCAUUCAAAGAUGCGUUUGCUAGGGAGACUUCCUAAAACAAGAAAACCAGACGAUUGUGGACAUUAAUGUUUUUUCACUCCUCAUGACAGUAAAAUAUGUCAUUCAAAGCCAAUUUACUGCAGUAAUUAUUCUCCAAGUUAUUAGAAAAUGAGAUUAACACACAGUCGUGCUUUAAAGAAAUUACUGUCAAAUACAUUGAAAGAGUUAUAAUUUUGAAAAAUACCAUGGUAUAAAUUUUUGAUCAUACCACCCAGCACUACAUUGCGACUUCAAGAGACCUACCAUCACUACACCAUUACUUGUACACUGUACCCCUGACAAGAUAUAAUUUUAGUGUCACAACACAUCAGUGGAGGUGCAAGAGGGAAAGGAGCACCUCAUGUACAUUUAGACAUGCACGUAAACACACACACAGGGCUGUUCUGCCCUACUGGCUCUGAUGCCGCACAUUGCCACCAUCUGAGGGAGGGCAGCAUUUCUCCGCCAUUAUUCUUGGUGUGUUUAUGUUUUCAGAUUUAAACUUUGUUUUGAAAGGACUUAUGUCGAGCUUUUUCAUCAGUAGUCAUUUGUGGUGUUUACAGUCUGUUAUUCUCCGUUUUUAUUUAUGUAGUUUGUAAGAGUCUGCCCCAUGCAUGAGGGAUGCAAGAAAGAGGAUGAAUGCAUGCACUCCAGCAUCAUCAUUGUUUUAAUUUCAUCCUAUUACUGUGACCCCAUUUACUGUUUACUCUCAGCUGUUUCUGCUAAUGCAAACUGAACAUCACUGCUGCUGCGCCCCAUUAAAAGCAUUCAGCUAGUUACCCAUGCAAUCAAAAAGGCAUCUCCUUAACAAGACACAAUGUUCAUUUUCAUCCUUUUUCAUUGAGAAUUGAAACGCUGCACGGAUUAGGCAGACACAGUGAGCUGUUAAAUGAAGAGCUGCAGGCAGACUUUGCUGCUCCAACUUUUCAACACGCUUUUACCGAGCACGUUUGCUGUCAAGAGAACAACACAACUUUAAGCAGAUGUCAUGGUUGGGAGUUGUAUUCCUGACACAGCUGCUGUGAAAUAAAAAAAAAUAAACGCUGUUAUCAAAAGUUACUACAAAUCAGCCAAACUGGAAGGACUGGAAUAUUUGACAUUAAUUUGACAUUUCCGAAGUCUUUGGCUUGAAUCUUGUCUGCAGCAGGUCUUUUGUGUAGACUUAACAAGCUCGUUAUUUUCCACGGGUUUACUCAAGGUGCUCUGUUCCCUUUGCUUUCAAAAUCACGGAUAGUAACUUUGUUUAGCUCCUCUGCUUUGGCCCUGAAAGUUUCAUUUACACCAUCAACAGAGUGCCACUGUAAAUCCUCAAAUAGAAACCAAGCUUCUAUUUGCUUUUACGAAAUCUACCAGGCCUUAAUAAGAAGCAGACUUGAACUAGAAGCAGGUCUCCUCCUGACCUCCUGUUAGAGCAGAAAACCAAUUCCCUUCACUGAUCUGUCGCCUGUUGGUGAAUGCCCUGAUGUUAUAAUGCUCUCUUUUCCAAAUGUAAACAAGCACAGACAACCAAUGGCAUGUUGUCUAGCAGCAGUUAGAUCUAGAAAACAGAGACGAAGUUGAUUGUAGUUUGUGUCUAGUUAACUCAACACAAUGCAAAACAAGCACAUGCAUGUGGGUGAGUGAAGGCUGGUGGUGCUAGCUCUGCUAAUGUUAACCCCACUCUACAAAUCAAUGUCACAUUGUUUACCUGCAGACCCUGCGAUGGCAUUUUUAGAUGUGUUAAAGAUGUGCUUAAUUCUGGCUGUUUUCAAACCUUUAGACCAGUUAGUUAGCUAAAUUACUGUUGAAAUACCUGGGAAAUCAGUUGCACAAGGACACCUCUGUCAGUUUCAUUCUUAUGCGCCAAUGAAAAUAUUGGGCAUGUGAUUUAUUUUCAACUUGGGACACUUUUUCAAAAGAUUAAGCUAUAAAAACCUGUUCACUAACGGGCUUUUAUGUAACUUUCAACAAAUGUUGAAUGUCUUCCUGGUGGGCAGAUUUUAAUCGACUGCAAAAGAGAUGUGGACAAAGAGGCAUUCACACAUGAAAUAGCUGUAAAACUGAGGAAAAAACAAGACUUGGAUUUUAAAUGAAGUUGAAAAGUUUUCUGAAAUGAAAAUUAGCAACACAAAAAUAACACUCCCAUUCAAAAAGUCUUUCACACGGGUUGUUUGGUUCAGUUCGCUCUGCAUCAGCGUGUGCCACCCGAAACAUGUGAUUCGUAAUUUAAUCAAUCAAUCAAUCAAUCAACUUUAUUUCUAUAGCACAUUUUAAAAUAACCACAAGGGUAGUCAAAGUGCUGUACAUAAAACAAAUAACACAAAGAGCAAGAUAAAGUGAGCAGAAAUACAUUAAUGCAAGGGGAUAAAUAAGUAAAUAAAUAAGCAGGCUCACGGCAGGUGCUAAAAUGAUAAAAAACAAAGUAACACUAAAAAGUAUCAAAAGCCAAGGAGUAAAAGUGUGUCUUUAAAAGGGAUUUAAAAACAGGAAAUGAGGCUAAGACAUUAUUUUAUAAAACAAUAAAAUAUAUAUUUUAAUGCAGAAAUGAUCCUUUUCGUUAAUAAGUUCCGGGAUAUGCUGAUCAUUUCCUCUGGCUACCUCACCUCUGCUCCCAGCUCAGUCAAUGUCAACCCCCUUCUCUGGCACAUCUGCUGCAGCACCUUUCAUCUCACCCCUUAAUAUCCACCGCUGAUGCAAGGAUCAAGCAGAUGGCGUGUACACACUCACACUCGCACACAGACAUGGAUGAACACACAGGUACCUGGUACACAGACCCUUGUUUGUUUUCUCUUUUAAAAGGGUGGAAGUCAGCCGAAAUGGUGAACUGGACAGUUAGUGUUGCAGGGUGAGAUUAAUCAGUACACAGAGAGGGGCUGCAGGUUACACAGGGGGAUAAGGCCGUUUUGAAUGCCUGAUUAGGCUUGAUGUGUGAAGUGAUGCCUCUGCUCGGCCGUCUGUUUCCAUUAGAAGUGGAGUGUACAAGACACCAGCAAUAGUUCAAGGACGUUUGGGAGAUGCAAGGUUUGCAGUUUGGGGAAAAAUAUAUUUCUCUAGUGCAAAAUGCAGACCAAGAAACUCACCUGAGUCCCUACUUUCACCCAAGGAACUAUGAUUUUAGUAACUGCCUUUAUCUGUAUGUUUGCUGCAAACUCUGCUCAUGCAUUGUGACAAAUUGACGGAAUUAGUAAAUACUACAGAUGUUGCAUACUAACCUAAAUGUUUGACCUCUAGAGCUUUGGUGUUAAGCUGCAGGGAUUGUUUUGCUGACAAGGUUCAGAUAUUUCCGUGUCCCUAUGGGAGACUUGUACCUUUGAAUCAAUACAGGAUUAUUCUAAAGGAUAUGUGGAAACAUUUCCAUCCCAAUGGUCUGUUGAGGCCAUCGCAAUUGAUUCUCUACCAACAACUUGGGUUGGGAUGUUUCCAAUCGAUUUAUUUUCAAGUCAUUUUAAUGGAAAAUUAAAGUCCAACAAACCAAGACAGUCAAAAUAGAGUGAACUUAUUCAACAUAACUCAACAAUUCCCCUAUCUAUAUACAGAGAGUCUACUGAUUUUGUAAACCUGUCACACAUUUGUAUACAUAUCGGAAAGAUAUCAUAAUUGUAUUUUUGUUGUUUGUUAUGUUCAGUUCCUAUAUUUUGGGAUUUGUUGCAUGAGUCACAUGACCACUGUUUCAUUAGUACUUUUAUUCCUGCAUGUAGUUUAAUAUCCAUGUCAAUUAUCUGGUGAUUCGUAUCUUUUAAAAAGGAUCAAAUGCAUGAGUCUAACUUCGUGUACUCAUAAAGUCUCUCCAGGAUGGCUCACCCAUGGUGCAAAGGAGGUCACUGCAUGUUUUGAUGGGUGUGUAACAAGGUGAAAUGGCCUUCAGCAGAUCUGACCAGAAUGAACUCUGUUAUUUGUGUUUCAUUUUUACUUUCUUGGCCUCUCAACCACUAUUAGAAGAACAAAUGAUGGGAUAUCUAUUUGAAAAGUUGUUUCCAUCGUUCUUAUAAAGCUCAAAUCUCAAUGCCAAAGUUUAUUGAAGCUGUUUUGGCCUGAAGCCUUACUUCAAGACAAAUAGGAGUUAUUUUUAUCCUUUAAUUUGUAUUCUGUCUGUAAUGAAUAAUGAAACGUUCUCCUAAAAGAAACAAACUGAAUGUCACUGAUAUAGAAAUGGAUUAUGAUAUCGAUCCUGUCAGGGUAGUUCUAGAGGGGUAUCUGAAAUGUGUAGAGAUAUAGACACAUAUUUUAACUGCGGGUGGAUAAACUCCAAGUUGUGUUAAAUGAAAAUCUAAUAUUCAUGUCUGGCUACUUUUAAGAUGUAUGAAUGUUUUUAGGAGAAUAUAGACCAAUAGGGAGUUAAUUUUUUUAUGAAGCUGGGGACCAUAUCUGCUACAGCAAGCCAAAGCUUUAAAGAUACAGCGUCUGCUCUCUUUGCAUCUUUGCAGCCAAGUGAUGCAGAGUAGGAGAAACCAUUUGAUGUCUUAUUAUAAAGACAUUCAACCAACGUCAUAAAGUGUAGAUUUAAUCAUGUUUAUAGAAGAUCAAUCAUGAUAAAGCAUUUGGAAUCAAUUUCAAAUGAUAGUCAAAAGAUCGCUAAAAUCGUAGGAAUAACAUUGUUGACACCAAAACAUCAUCUGCUAUAUGACGCUUUCGGUAAAAGCCGAGAAGUGAGAGAACAUUUGAUGUGAAAGAAAUACUUCAAAUAUAAAGCAAACAAAGAGUUAAAAAAAUACACACAAAAAUGUACAAAAAAUGCAGACUAAAAUGAAAAUAACAAAAAAAAAAAAAAAAUGUACAGAUUAAAGGCGUGUUCGUGAAAAAUUAAAAAACAAAACCUGGCACUUCCUUCACAGACAUAUGUGCGAGUAUUGUGCGCACUCUUUAAGUCAGAACAUAUGCAACACAAAGCCCGGUUAAAGACACUGAAUUGGGCGGCUGCUGCUGCUGCUAGUGUAUGCAGAUGGAGAGUGGGAGGAGAGUGAUUUACUGUGAAGGGACAGAGAUGGUGGUUGGGGUGCUGAGGAGGAGGAGGGGGGGAGUUGUAGAAAGCUGAACUGCUCUGUUAGAGCAAGUGUGCGGCUUUACUAACGCCAUGCAUUAAUGUUGAAUGGAGAAAAACAUAAUGAAAUAUAUAUCACAGCAUGAUUGCUUUUCAUUUAGAGCAUGUUUGAGUGUAAAUCAACAUUUCAUAUGUUUUUUUUAAGUGUCUUCAGUGCAGUUGUUUAUUAGGGGUGGGUGAUAUUGUCUUUGAUUUACGUGGCAGUAUUUCAUGGAAUUUUGCUAAAGUGGUGUGUGUGAUUCUAUGGCGAAAAUCAAAGCUAUUAUGUGCUUGAAUAUGUUCUAAUUAAUCCUACCUUGUAUCAUAAAGGUCAUUUUGAACAGUUACAAAUUAAACUCAUAUCUUCUUAUUAUUUUUUUCUGCUUUUCACCCCAAAGAAAGAUCUGCUGUCACACCUUUUAUAGCUGUAUAAGCAUGAGUUUGUAUAAUCUCAUAUGGGAAUACAAUGUUUCCCUCUUGCUUUUUCGCUUUGGCCAGGGAGUUGGGGGGUGGGGUGGUGUCGUAAGACAUGGGCAUGCAUCACCCAUUAUGGCGUAUACGUCAUACAGGGUGGCGGGAGUUGAGCCAGCGCUAUUUUCGAGGCUGGGAGAGAUGCUUAAGCUAGCAUUCACAAGAGAAUUUGUGAUGUGCACAUCAGUGCGUACCAUCUCCUUGAAGAACGCAGACAUUUUCAAUUGGGGUGCUUAACGUUCAGGAACAGUUCAGUGUUCCAUGACCAGUUUAUUUUAUUGUUUUGUUAGCAGCAAACACAAUGGAAAGGAGCCAGAACCCCAGGUUGUUAAAACCAUCCUGCUUAAAACUGGAUAUGAGCGGCAAUCGCUCGCGACCAGAAUACCA